rnacentral:rRNA from 1 species
UACGGGGGGGGCAAGCGUUGUUCGGAAUUACUGGGCGUAAAGGGCUCGUAGGCGGCCAACUAAGUCAGACGUGAAAUCCCCAGGCUCAACCUGGGAACUGCGUCUGAUACUGGAUGGCUUGAAUUCGGGAGAGGGAUGCAGAAUUCCAGGUGUAGCGGUGAAAUGCGUAGAUAUCUGGAGGAAUACCGGUGGCGAAGGCGGCAUCCUGGACCGACAUUGACACUGAGGAGCGAAAGCCAGGGGAGCAAACGGG